rnacentral:tRNA from 1 species
GGUGGCUCAGUGGUAGAGCGCUUGCUUUGCAUGCAUGAGGUCCUGGGUUCGAUUCCUUAGCACCA